CCGCCGUCGAACCGGCCGCCUCGGCUCUGCGCCAUGUCCACACCAUGGGAACCUCUCCCGUAGCCGCUCGGCCCGAUCUGCCGUGUCUGGGAAGCGGGGGCGGCGGGGGCGGGGGCGCUUCCUCUCCCCCGUCCCAGCCACCCCUCCCCGGCUAGCUUAUGCUCUUCCCUCGGUGUCGCCGUCGAGCUCGCCCUGCACAGGGUCUCUGGCCUGUGGGUGAUAUGCGGCGGUCUUGGCCUUGGACCCGGGCACUAUGACAUUGUCAAGUAAUCUUGAAAUCGGCUUCACUGCCUCAGGGUUAAAGAACAUUGCUGAUCUGAUGAGGCACACACAGUGACAAAAAGGAUGUGAUGUGAGGAAAAACAGCGACAUGAACCAUCCCUCCCAAUGCUUGAAUCUGAUCAGCUCAAUACUCUGAGCCCCCUCAUCUGGUGAGAGCCAUCCUCCGAUUUCACUAUGGAAAAAACAAAAUGUUCAGCAUCAGUUCUGUACAAAACACUCAAUUGUCUCUGAAGUUCACAAGUUCAGUUCAGACUUCAAGCACCUAGUGUCCAUCCAAAGCUUUUCCUGCGGAUAGUCGGACAUUGCUGGCACAAAUGCUGCAUUAUUUGCCAGACUGUGUGAGUUCCUCAGGAAGAUCCUCUCUUGCCGAACAUCAUUAAGUCUCAUUUCAUCCUCCUAAUGUUUGUGCGAACAAGGCUCCAUUUUUAGAAAGGUCAUCCUUACUACGGCAAAUGUCAUUAACAGUUCUCCACAGCUCCCUGGAACAUUUGCAUCAGAUAAUAUUACCUUCAGAAAGAGGAGACAUGGGGAACUCAUCAAGCAACGACCGACCUGAGCAAAUUCAGCAAUCUCACAGCCCUUAAGGGUCCAUCUUCAACCGUUCACGGAUGAAAUACUCCAGCAGUAUUGAUAUUUUCUCCAUGAAUUCCGUCCCUGGCAUCUUAACAGUAGGAUCCUCGAGCUCAUAUGUACCUCGCGGCAGCACCUCCUUCCCUUGAGCUCUGAAUAUCUCAGUCAAGAGGACCGCUUCAGCCUCCUGGUAGAUUGAAAUAAUUAAGCGCAUUUACAGUCCCCCAAAAAAAAAUUUUAAUCGUACAUGCAGCAGCGGGCGUCGCAGAUGAG